rnacentral:rRNA from 1 species
AGCAGCCGCGGUAAUUCCAGCUCCAAUAGCGUAUAUUAAAGUUGUUGCAGUUAAAAAGCUCGUAGUUGAAUUUCGGGGUUAGUAGGUUGGUCAUGCCUCUGGUAUGUACUGGUCUCACUGAUUCCUCCUUCCUGAUGAGCCGUAAUGCCAUUAAUUUGGUGUUGCGGGGAAUUUGGACUGUUACUUUGAAAAAAUUAGAGUGUUUAAAGCAAGCUAACGCUUGAAUACAUUAGCAUGGAAUAAUGAAAUAGGACGUUCGAUCCUAUUUUGUUGGUUUCUAGGGUUGACGUAAUGAUUAAUAGGGAUAGUUGGGGGCAUUAGUAUUCAAUUGUCAGAGGUGAAAUUCUUGGAUUUAUUGAAGACUAACUACUGCGAAAGCAUUUGCCAAGGAUGUUUUCAUUAAUCAAGAACGAAAGUUAGGGGAUCGAAGACGAUCAGAUACCGUCGUAGUCUUAACCAUAAACUAUGCCGACUAGGGAUCGGAUGAUGUUAAUUUUUUAAUGACUCAUUCGGCGCCUUA